AAAAAAGAGUAAUACCCAUUUCAAUGAGAUUCGAGCUUAUUACAUGCUAUUUAACACUAAUCCUGUAGGUGGCGCAGAGCCAGCAGUGAUAGGAAAGCCUCUGGUUCUGGCAAGGGUCAAAAGGCAAAGCAAUUAAAGAAAACCCCAGAGCAUGUAACACGCUAAUCUGUGUCCGGGUUUUCUAUCACUCUGUCAGGUGGAUUUCUCAGUCAGACUGAUGUGGAGGUGAUCAGGUGAUCCACAAGUAGAGAGAAUGAGAUGCAUUAAUAUUAGAAAAGCAAAACAAAAAUGCAGCUGCUUCCCACAUCCAUCUCCACUACUACUACUACUACACACACACACACACACACAUUACCUAUUGUUCCCUAAAGGAUUGUUCCUGUCUGUUAGAAAGCACCCUGGUUGAAAUAUAAAUGUUUUUUUUUCUGAUUCAGUAGUGAGGAAAGGCCAUGCAUACGGGAGCAUCUCUGUUUCAAUGAAACCUGUUGUACAUCAGCAUGACCCCUAAUCCUCAUGAGAACGGCAGGGGUCGCGCCCUCUUCUGUGGUUAGAGACACAUUAGAUGACCUUGGGCACACAACCUGCAUAAAUGUUGGAGUGGGUGCGUGCGUGUGUACAUUAGACAACCUCCUACAAAACCUCCAUAAAUGUUGAAAGAGAUUUUACCUGUCAGCAUUGGGGAUAUUUGGAUUGCACAAGGUCCUGACUCACCUAUUCCCAAGGCCCCUAGAUGUCAGUGCUCCCUCUGUAGGGAUUUAAAAGCAGUAUCUGACAGCGGGCAGUGCACAAGUGGGCGCUCUGAAGGCCGAUCACCAAUUUGUACAUAGCCAUGAGGGGCAUGCAGGGGAGCGAGCCACAGAGACAGCACCUCAACACACAACCCCACUAAUGAGGCACAGAGUGCCAACCCCUCGUCUCCACAUACAUGGCUGUGCUCAGAUUGUGUCAGCUGCCACAUUAAGCAGCCUCUAUUUCACACACAUGCAAGUAUAUACCUAAAUGUUUCGUGCUAUACACAGGUAGUCUCUUGCAUAAGCAGUUGAGAGCCUCAGACAAUGGUGAAAUGUAUUUGUUCACAGAUCCUUCUACAUAGAAUGGUGCGACCUUCCACGAACACAGAAAUCUGCUUUGAUUUAGAUCUGUGUAAAUUUCAGUUUAUUGGCCUUUUGUAGUUGAAAUUGAAAAAAUAAAAUGUUGCUGGCAGGAUUACUGAGAUGUGUUAGAAUUGGUAAAAUUGGGAUUCAUUUUGCCCAUAUAUUCAGUGCACCACAAUGUGCCUCCAAAUACAGUAUGCCAAAUGAAUAUGUGGCAGUAUUGUUAGGUUUUUAAAUUAUUAUUAUUAUUAUUAUUAUUAUUAUUAUUAUUAUUAUUUUAGUUAUUUAUUUUUUUAGAUUAUGAAGUUUUUAUUUUUGCAGGUAUCUUCAUGCAUAUGAUGCAAUAAUGCAGAAAACAUGUGCAUGUACACUUCUUCUGUUUCCAUUAGUGCCAUUAUGAAGAACAGGCAAAAAGAUUUUUACUAAAAAAGGUUUAACUAACUAUAUAAUGAGUACAAAGGGAAUGCAUAAAAUGUAUCUGCUCUAAUGCUAUUUGUUGUGAAUAUUUUGUUGAUCAUUUCUCUAAAACAAUCUCUCUUUUACAGCUGCACUGGUCUGAAAAGUCCCCAGUGUGAAUCCUGAUACAAAUCUAACAUAUUAAAUGGACAUAAUAGAUUUGUGUUGUGCUCAAGAGCUACAGAACCUUAACAGUUCACUUAACGUGUGAGAGAGUUUUAUUGCAUUUCAACAAGUGAAGAACUCAUGUGCUCCUUCUUUAUCCAGUAGCUCCACCAUGUGGCCACUGAUUUUUUGAAUGGGGCAAAUAUUUCCUGGAUGUGGAUAUUCAUCUUUCACAUGAAUCACAUAUCUACUUAAAUAGAAGAGAAAUAUAGUUGGGUUUAGGCACAUAAGGGCCAGAUAUGGCAAUAACAAGUGCAUUUUGGGCAAAUGGUAAACAGACACAUUUAAAGGUUUUAUCAUUUAGGACUUCAUUUGAUUUGAUUUCAUUUGAUUCAUUUUAGUUUGCAAUUGCCAUUGAUUGUCACCUUCCCUUUCUUUGGUUACUGCUAUAGUUACCAUUAAUGAUCUGUAUUAAUGAUUAGCUGAGCAGUUUAAUUUAACAUUGCUGAAAGAGUCUUUGACUUUGGUUUCUAUCUUCGUUUUACACCUGUCUGUCUCUUAUUAGUUUUUUUAUAGUCAGUCACCGCUUUAUUCAGAUCAUGUGCACCAUGUAUAACAGUUAGUGACUGCGGUUGGAGCUGCAGGUUAUGUGUACUCCAAUGCUAGUCCAGGUACCCAUCACUCCCAUACUGCCCACAUGUUAGCUAUGAACUGUCCCAUUGCUCCCCUGACACACUGUGAAUUUCCCUCUGGGAUUGAUCGAUCAAUCAAUCAACCAGUAUCUAUCUAUCUAUCUAUCUAUCAAUCAUAACCACAAAGUACAAUGUACAGGUUUUAUUGAAUUAUUAACAAUACAAUGCAUUUAAAAUUUAUGAAGG